GACGAACGCUGGCGGCGUGCCUAAUACAUGCAAGUCGAGCGCAGGAAGCUCACGGAACUCUUCGGAGGGAAGUGAAGGGAAUGAGCGGCGGACGGGUGAGUAACACGUAAGGAACCUGCCCCAAGGAUUGGGAUAACUCCGAGAAAUCGGAGCUGAUACCGAAUAGUUCUUCAGACCGCAUGGUCUGUGAUGAUGAAAGGCGCUUCGGCGUCACCUUGGGAUGGCCUUGCGGUGCAUUAGCUAGUUGGUGGGGUAAUGGCCCACCAAGGCGACGAUGCAUAGCCGACCUGAGAGGGUGAUCGGCCACACUGGGCCUGAGACACGGCCCAGACUCCUACGGGAGGCAGCAGUAGGGAAUCUUCCACAAUGGACGAAAGUCUGAUGGAGCAACGCCGCGUGAGUGAUGAAGGUUUUCGGAUCGUAAAACUCUGUUGUAAGGGAAGAACAGGUAUGAGAGGUAAUGCUCAUGCUAUGACGGUACCUUACGAGAAAGCCACGGCUAACUACGUGCCAGCAGCCGCCGUAAUAC
rnacentral:rRNA from 1 species